UACAGAGGUCUCAAGCGUUGUUCGGAUUCAUUGGGCGUAAAGGGUGCGUAGGCUGGCGCGGUAAGUCGGGUGUGAAAUCUCGGGCUUAACUCCGAAACUGCAUUCGAUACUGCCGUGCUUGAGGACUGGAGAGGAGACUGGAAUUUACGGUGUAGCGGUGAAAUGCGUAGAUAUCUGGAGGAACACCGGUGGCGAAGGCGGCAUCCUGGACCAAUUCUGACGCUGAGGAGGCGAAAAGCCAGGGGAGCAAACGGG
rnacentral:rRNA from 1 species